ACUAAACUGCCACCGGGUAGUGAGCUGAUACGCGCUCGUUUCCACAUCGUUAGGUCUUAGAAGAUGUGAGGGAUGAGCGCUUUUUGAAA
rnacentral:ncRNA from 1 species